rnacentral:rRNA from 1 species
CUCGUAGGCGGCCAACUAAGUCAGACGUGAAAUCCCUCGGCUUAACCGGGGAACUGCGUCUGAUACUGGAUGGCUUGAAUCCGGGAGAGGGAUGCGGAAUUCCAGGUGUAGCGGUGAAAUGCGUAGAUAUCGGGAGGAACACCAGUGGCGAAGGCGGCCUUCUGGACGGAUACUGACGCUGAGACGCGAAAGCUAGGGGAGCAAACG